GGCCCCAUCGUCUAGCCUGGUCUAGGACACAAGAUUUUCAUUCUUGCAACACGGGUUCAAAUCCCGUUGGGGUCA
rnacentral:tRNA from 1 species